AAUAAGAACACUUCUUUCAAACAGAAUUUAUUAUAAAAACUUCAUCUUGUACUACUUUUCGCAUACAUAUACAUCCUUAAUAAAAAUUCUGUAAUUAUUUAAUUUAUACAGUAGCAAGUAAGAACAGCAUGUUAUUGUAAAACAGUUAAUUUCCUACAUUGAAAACAUUGUUCCAAACUUUACUUUCUCGUCUAUAUUAACUUAAUCACAAUUUAAAAAUAUGGCAGUCUUUUUCAAAUAGAAACCGUUUCUUCCUAGAAGAUGAUGAACUUUUUAAAGAAUUAAUCGUAGUAUAUUUUGUAACUGUACGAAUUUAGAAAUGUUACAUAUGAUUAUCAUGUGGCUUAUAAGUAACAGUGAGAAAAGUUUUCUUUUGGAUUUAAUAUUGUUAAUAAAUUUUCGGAAUGCCGCCAAAAAUAGUGACACUACGGUCAUCUUGCGGUAAAUGAAGCAACUAAACAGAGGAAAAUUUCGUUUUUCGCAAAGUGAGUCACUUUCGCGUUAUUGGCGCCAAAAGCGUGUUUUAUCGUAAACGUCUAUUUUGAGUAAUGUCAUUACAAUUUGUACAAAGCUGUAUUGUGUUUAUAAAUUUGUGAAACAUAUAACAGGAAUGAUUACGAAGAAUGUUGUGACGUAAUGUCGAUUCCGAAAUAAUGACGGAUCUUCAAAAUAUAAGAAAAACGUUGUGUGGAAGAUUAUUUAGGAUAAAAUGAGAGUGUGCUUCUGUAAGUAUUAAAAAAAGUAAGUUUUAAUACGUACCAACAAUGUUGAUAAUGUAGAAUGUACAGUAAUGCAACCUGUUGUAGAGCAGUCGGGAGGUGCUGCCACUGCAACAACUAUGCACAUAAUUUCCAAGGCGAAGGUUGAAUACAGGGAACUGCAGGUUCUUCUUCCCUAGGAUUUUCCUAGGUUCCUAAGUUAUGGUCAGCACACAUAUAAAUUGCAGCAAGAAAAGUAUACUCUUCUUCAGCUUUUCAAAAAAACGUACACAUCUUCGGUUCCUAAAAAUUAGGAGAAGCAUUCUUCCCAAAAGUGGGAAACACACCUAAUUGAGGAACACAGUUAACCGGCACUCAGCUUAGCGGUGACCAGCAACGGGUACCUUCUUCACCGUGGCCAGAAUAACACCGGUAUGAAGAGAAACA